UAUCGCCCGACCGACCUUGACAGCAGCAGCAGCAGCAGCGCGAGUUAGAGAGAGAGAUAGAGAGAGAGAGCACCUACGCCACUGGCUGCAGCACGCGCGCGCCUGUCGCGGGGCACGGGGCUCAUCAGCACCAUCGGCGCGAGAUGCGACGGACUUUAUUAUUGGCGGCCGAGCGGCAGCUCCAAGGAGUCCAAGAAGGACACCCUGUCGCCAUCCGGCGGAGGCUUCGGCUUUGGGCCGCAUAUUUGGCAUCGGGAGGACGUUCGUGCCGACUGUUUGGACCAAGACGUGGGCGAGGGCUCGCGGCAAAAGCGCGGCUUCUUCAAGGGACUGUGGAAGCGGUCUCGCGGCUACUCGUUGGACCACCAGUAGCCGACGUGCUGCGGGUGCAGGCGCAGUCGCCGCAGGGCCGCCUCCUUCACCGAGUGACACCGAGUGACACCGAGUGACACCG